UCAAUAAGCGGAGGAAAAGAAACUAACAAGGAUUCCCCUAGUAACGGCGAGUGAAGCGGGAAGAGCUCAAAUUUGUAAUCUGGCACUUUCAGUGUCCGAGUUGUAAUCUCGAGAAGUGUUUUCCGCGCCGGACCGCAUACAAGUCUGUUGGAAUACAGCGUCAUAGUGGUGAGAACCCCGUAACUGAUGCGGAUGCCCGGUGCUUUGUGAUACACUUUCGAAGAGUCGAGUUGUUUGGGAAUGCAGCUCAAAUUGGGUGGUAAAUUCCAUCUAAAGCUAAAUAUUGGCGAGAGACCGAUAGCGAACAAGUACCGUGAGGGAAAGAUGAAAAGCACUUUGGAAAGAGAGUUAACAGUACGUGAAAUUGUUGGAAGGGAAACGAUUGAAGUCAGACUUGUUAUCUGGAGUUCAGCCUUUCGGUGUACUCUCCAGUUUACAGGCCAGCAUCAGUUUUCGGGGCGGGGAAAAUCGUAAUUAGAAGGUAGCAGCCUAGCUGUGUUAUAGCUCUUUACUGGAUUCCGCUUUGGGGACUGAGGAACGCAGUGUGCUUUUAGCAAUACCCUCGGGUAUUUCACACUUAG
rnacentral:rRNA from 1 species